rnacentral:lncRNA from 1 species
CUUUUAGGCUCACAUGCACACACAUAUACUCCCAUGUGUUAAAUCUAGAGAAGUGGUGCAGACUAGAAGGAUUAUCGGAAUUCCAAGGAGGGAGCAAUUCUGCUCCAAGGGCUGGGGUGGUCACAAAAGGUAGGGCUCCAGGCCCCAAAGAAAGGGUAGAGAGCUUGAGGGAAUUAAUGUGAACAAAGACCAGGAAAUAGUAAUGAAAAUAGUUUGGGGGAAAAUAAUUAGUAGACCAUUUGAUGGGAGCAGACAGAUUGUGUGGACUGGAAGAUGACUAGGAGAUAAUAAUGGAAUGGUAGACCAUAGUCUGCUUGUAGAGGGCCUUGAAUUCUAGGCUAAUUAGUGUAGUCUUAGCCUAUAAGCAAUAAGGAGCACCACUCUCACAGAUAAAAGAGAGCAGACCACUCCAGCUUCAGAGUACCUUCAAUCAAAAGAAGCACGGACAUUGAUUACAAGAAGUUUUGUGAAAUGUCUCAAGUGUGUAUAACUAUUUCCCAUAUUUGUAACUUUGUUAUCUCCAUGGUAUCAGUGUUAUUUGGGAGGACAGCAAGAAGAAGAUAGCUGGCAAGAUUACGUCCUACUGGAGAUGAAAAGGACCCUAAGAAAUGAUUAACAAACACAAACCCUUUGCUGGAGUUUACAUUGUAAUACAGACCCUUCAUGAUGUGGCCAGGCAUGUCAAGGCCAUACAGACAAGAGAAGACAAACAUUCAGCCUAGAUAUGGAGAGGCAGCUGAAUAUUUACAUUACCCAACAGAGCAAAGAUCCCUAUACCCAACUUCCUAACUCAACAUCUAGACUUGAAUGUCUCAUGGGUACAAACAUGCCUGAAGCUGAACUCAUCCUCCUUCUUUGAUCUCAGAAGAUAGCACCGCCAUCAACCCAGCUGCCCAAGGGAAAAUUCUGGGAGUCAACCUCUAUUCCUUCUUUCUCCCACUUCACAUUCAGUCAGUCAUCAAGUCCUGCCAAUUAAAUCUCCUAAAAAUUUUUGAAAUCCAUUCACUUCUCUCCAUCCUCAUUGCAACUGCCAUUCUUACUUCAGGCCCCCAAGUUCAGACCAACUUACUGAACUCACUGCCUCUGAUCUUGCCACCCUGUCUCAUCUCCAGUUCAGUUGGUCACAUUGCAAAAGAAUGCCAUUGAUUUUUUUCCAUACAGAUCUGAUCUUAUCACCUUUGUUUAAAACACUUCAAAGACCUUCAAGAAAAAAAUUAAACUCUUUAACAUGAUUUUCAAGGCCCUUCAUAAUCAGAUCUUGCUUUGACAGUGCUGUGUAAUGAUUAGACUUGAGCAAGACUGGCUGGGUUCAAAUCUCAGCUUUAACACUUUUAGUAGCUGUGUAACUUUGAGCAAGUUAACCUCCCUGUACUUGAGUUUUCUCAGCUAUAAAACGGAGUAAUUACAAUGCCUACCUUCCAGGGUUAUUGUUUUUUUUUUGUUUGUUUUUUUCUUUACAGCGUCUCACUCUGUCACCCAGGCUGGAGUGCAGCGACUCACUCUCGGCUCACUGCAACCUCUGCCUACCAGGUUCAAGCGAUUCUCCUGCCUUAGCCUCCCACGUAGCUGGGAUUACAAGCACCCACCACUAUGCCUGGCUAAUUUUUGUAUUUUCAGUAGAGUCAGGUUUCACCAUGUUGGCCAGGCUGGUCUCGAACUCCUGACCUCAAGUGGUCCACCCACCUUGGCCUGCCAAAGUGCUGGGAUUACAGGUCUGAGCCACCGCGUCCUGCCAAUAUUACCUUUUAGUAGUAGUAUUCUCUCUUUAACUUUAUCUCUUGCCUCUCUCUCUCUCCGUCCCCCCGUUUUUUAGCCACAUCAUUUUUUUUAUUUCUACAGCAUGCCAUAUUCUCUUAUUUAACUGUAAAAUUCAAUGUCUUUUAGUAUAUUUACAGAAUUGUACAUUCAUCACCACAAUCAAUUUUAGAACAUUUUCAUUACCCCAAAAAGAAGCCUCACACCCCUUAGCCUUAGGCAACCACUAAUCUACUUUCUGUCUCCAAGGAUUUGCCUAUUCUGGACUUUUCAUAUACAUGGAAUCAUACAAUAUGUGGUCUUUUGUGUCUGACUUCCUUCACUUGGCAUAAUAUUUUCAAGGUUUAUCCAUGUUGUAGCAUGGAUCAGUGCUUCAUCCUUUUUAUGGCCGCACUAUGUUCUCUUUCAUUGCCCAGCCUUUGUACAGGGAAUCCUUCUGUCAGUAAUCCAUUCCUUUUCUCCACCCCCCACUCACAUGAUUAAGUCUCAUUCAAACUUGAGCCCUGUAGUUUAGAUAGAAUCAAAAGACUUCCUCCUGGAAGCCUUUGAUGAUCACCCUCUCCCAUCCCCACCCCGCUUAGAACGGCUUAAGUAAGCUUCCUAGGUGCUCCCCCCAAUAUCCUGUACUUCCCCUAUUGCUUGUUUAUUUAUCUGUCUUUCUCUUCGACUGCUGGCUGAACAACAACUGCAGCCAUGUUUGUAUACUGCUCAUAUCCAGUACUUAGCAGAGGAUGUGGCAACCACUAGGCACUCAAUUACUUUGCUGAAUUAUGAAACAGGAACAGGAGGAGCAGGGCCAGAACAGAAAAGAGGAGGCUCAAUUGGUAGCAGGCCAAUGGAGGUUUUCUGCUGCGCUACCAGACUAAACUUUCUAAAACACUGCUUUCUUCAAGACAUGUCUUCAAGCUAGAUACUGGGCCUGUUUCUCCUCUAAAAAAUGUAGGGUCCACCUGAAUAAUCCCUAUAAUCCCUUUUCAGCCCCAACACUGAUUGCUUACAAGUAUAUGUUUAAUUAGUCCCAUAAUUAUGAAGGAGAGCCAAGAGGAUGCCAAGUGCAUUAAAAUACAUUUCUCUCAAAUUAAUGCAUAAUAACACUGUACAAAAUAGGACUUUUUUUCCCCUUAAAGUAUUAGCAAUAUGGACUAACUGGGGUCAAAUAAAAAAAUAUGAUGUCUUACAUGAUAAUAGUUAAGGAAUACAGCUUCCAUCCACUAGAAGCUUUUGAAUCCUCUUUUAAUCAGUUCUAUCUUGACACUUGAUUGAAAUAUUAGCAGUAGGUGCCUCUGCAUUUAUCAGCUUUUAAAGGCCUGAAUUAAUUUCCCUACACUGGCCUGGCUUUGUAAGAUGGAAUGGAAAGUAGAAGGCACCACUCCCUCUCAGAAAAGCACUUUCCAGCUCCAUCAGCCAGGCCCAAGCUAUUCUGAGCAAGCUUGCUGUUAAUGAACAUCACUGCAGUUCCUUCUAGAUCUGGACUGCUCUCCAUUAGAGCAGCCAGAACCAAAGAUAGGCAGAAGCAAAAAAAAAGAAAUAAUUGCAACAUACUCUAUAUAUACCACUCUAGAGAUUCAGUAAUAAUAACUCCCAUUUAUCAAACACUGUACUGACCCUUUAUAUCAUCUCAUAUAAUGUUCUUAACAAUUCCAUGGGGUAUUAUGAUUAUUAUUUUCAUUUUAUAAAUAAGGAAAGUGAGCCACAGAGAGGUUGAGCAAUCACCCACAGUCAUGUGACUAGUAAAUGUUAGAGCCAGGAUUUAAAAGUCUGUUCUGAAUACAGAGGUGAAGCCUAUAUUGGUACAGUAUACAUGCCUCCCAUUAUUUAACAAUUAUUCACUUAUAUUUAUUUCUCUCCCACUGUUCUAUGAACUCCCUUUGGGUUUGUGCCACCAGCACCUAGCAUAAUGCUUGGCACAUUGAUUCAUUCAUCCCUUCAAAACAGAUUUAUCGAAUGUAUACCAUGUGCUAACCACUGGUUAUGAGCACCUGGGCAUACAGGAGUGAACAAGGCAGUAAGAUUCCCUGGCCUAGUAAAGCUUACAACCAGGUGAAAGAGACAGACAAGGCUGGGUGCAGUGGCUCGUGCCUGUAAUCCUAACACUUCGGGAGGCGGAGAUGGGGUGAUUGCUUGCAGUCAGGAGUUCCAGAUCAGCCUUGGGAACAUGGUGAAACCCUGUCUCUACAAAAAGUACAAAAAUUAGCCAGGUGUGGUGGCUCACACCUGUGGUCUCAACUACUUGGGAGGCUGAGGUAGGAGGAUUGCUUGAGUCUGGGAGUUAAAGACUGUGGUGAGCCAUGAUUGUGGCACUGCACUCCAGCCUGGGUAACAGAGCAAGACCUGGUCGCUAAAAAAAGAGAGAGAAGAAAACAAAUAAGAAUUUCUAUGAAGAAAAUAAAGCAAAAAAAAAUGGGAUUAAGAGUAGCUUGGGGUUGGGGGCAGUGCUUUGUUAGGCUAAGGUGCUCAGGGGAAGGCUUCUGCAAGUAGGUGACAAUUCAUUUGAGCUGAGACCUAAACGAUGAGAAACAGCCAACCAUGAGAAAGCCAGAGGAAGCAUGUUUCAGGCAGAGGUACUAGAAAGUACAAAAGUGGGAAAGGGUUUGGCAGGCUUAAGGAUCAAAAAGAAGGCGAAUGUGGGUGGGGCAUAGGAAGUGAAGGGGCCUAUUAGAGGUGUCAGAUCUUAUAGGGCCUUGUAGGCCAUAGGCACCACCUAUUAUACUUACACCUAAAACUGGGACUGCUGCCCCCUACUGAUUCGUAACAAGAGCCAGGGUGGGAGAAAUACGUUUUUGAAGGGGGAGACUCAGAAGCAGGAUGCCUGAGCUUUGGGAAGAAAAGCAUGGGCCUUCCUUGCACCUGCUUCCUCUUCCCCCUGGGAAUCCCUUCCUUUGUAGGUUACUCCCAUUUUUUUUUUUUACCCUUCUUCUUCCUCCUCCUCCUCCUUCUCGUCCUCUUCUUUCUUUUCUUCCUCCCCGACCCCCACAUCUCUAAAACAAUUUAAGCUCACAAGCCAUUUCCCAUCAACUCCUCCUGGGACCAUGAGACAGCCAAUCUAUGCCUUAAGCCUCUAAUGCCAAAACUUUUGAGUCAGAUAAGAGGAGGGAGCCGUGGUGAUAGUGGCAGCAGCCAUGUCGUCGCAGCUUGAGCUCAAGCUCAAAGUCUUCUUCUGUCCGACCCCUGAAGGGAGUCAGGCGAUUUUGGCUUAGCUAAUACAGCAGUCUGAAGAGCUGAGCUACCUAACUACUGUGACGAACAGAAAGGAAAACAAGCCUCAGAAAAAGCCAACACCAGAGAACAAGAAUUACAAGCACGCAUCGGCACCCACAGCAGACAGGCUGGGUGGAGGACUCCCAACUUAACAUACGCACAGGUUUCGGAGCACAGCAGAAUACCUUUGACUCUCCGGAAAGCUAGUUGCAACACUUCUUACUCCCUACUGCCCCACUGUGGAGAAAUGCUUUGGGAAAACGCGACUUAUUGUGGAGGAGCAUUCACUGCCAUACUCUUUUGACUUUGGACUCCUGGCAGUCUUCAUUCCCUUAUUCCUCCAGCAUCUAUCAAGCUCAGAGAAAGAGGCUUUUGACACACAUACAACGACGUGGUCUUUACCUCUCCUUAUUAAAAUUUGAGGCCAAUAAAAUAAAAACAUUGAGCUUAACCUUUUCCAAAAAUGGUAAAAAGUUGCGCAGGAAAAUAGGAGGAAGGAAAUAAUAAAGAUAAAAGCAAAAAUAAAUAAAUUAGAGGUUGUAAAAACAGUUGAAUUAAUAAAUAAAUUCAAGAGCUUGCUGCUUGAAAGGGCUAAUAAAGUAGAUAAAACUCUGGCAAAUCUAUGUAAGAAAAACACAUACAUAAAAUUAGAAAUGAGAAAGGGGAUAUAACAACCAGUAUAAACAAUAUUUUUUAAUUGUAAGAAAAUGCUAUGCACAAUUGUAUGCUAAUACAUUUUAAAAAUAUAGUGCAAUAGAUCCUUUUUGUCUACAAAAAUAUAAAAUACUAAAAUUCAUACCACAACAAGUAGAAAAGCUGAAUAAAUUAAUAACUGAAGAAUAAAUUCAGAAACUGUCACACAAAGUUCCUAAACCUAAUGGUAAGUAAUUUUAAACCUUCAAAGGAGAAAGCAGAAAAAGCAUGUGCCUUUCACCCCACGAAACAAAUAUGGUCCUGAUCCCAAAACGUGAUAAACAUAAAAUAAAACAUGAACACCGGAGACCAAAUGUAAACUAUAUUAUAGUUGAUAGGUCCAAAAACUUUAGCCCCAAUACAAGCAAACAGUUCAGCAAAGCUUGAAGGGAGCAAAACAUCACAAUCAUAAAGAAUUAAUCCUCGGAAAGCAACAGUGGUUCAGCCUAAAGCAGUCU